rnacentral:rRNA from 1 species
AUGCUGGAUGAUGACGAUGACGAUGAUGAUGAGGUGAAUUUUGAGGACGAGGACGAUGAUGAGUUUAAUCCGGCUGAAAUUGUGUGUGAUCCCGCUCAUAGGCAACAAAUUGCUGAUUAUCAUCCGAAUAUUCAAGAUCAGGUGAGAAGAGCAUACAUAUUGAAGGGUCCAACCUGACCAACUGUCAAAUUUGAUCGCAAGAAAAUUGGUAGCAAGAACCGUGCAUUUUCUAAAAAUUGGUAUAAGAAUUAUGAUUGGUUAGAAUAUAGUGUGUCCGAGCAAGCUGCAUUUUGUUUCUGUUGCUUUCUUUUUAAGCAAGCAGGAAGUAUUACACAUUUUGGUUAUGAUGUCUUCACCAAAAAAGGAUUCAGGGAUUGGAAGCAUGCAUAUCAAGCAUUGCCUGCUCAUGUUGGUGGGGUAAAUAGUGCACACAACAAGGCAAGAUUGCAUUAUGAUUAUUUUCGUAAUCAAAGGCAAAGUGUGUCUAGUAACUUUGCUAGGUCAUCCAAGGAGUCUGAAGUACUUUACAAAAUUCGGUUGCACACUUCUCUGGGUUGUGCAAGAUAUCUCAUUGCUCAAGGCUUGGCUUUUCGUGGCCAUGAUGAAAGUUCAACUUCACUGAACAAGGGUAACUUCCGUGAGAUGGUAGAUUGGCAUAAAGCUAGAGAUGAGAAAGUGAGGCAUGCUUUUGACCAUGCUAGUAGAAACUGCAAGAUGCUUGCUGCGGAAAUUCAAAAAGAUCUUGCAAAGUGUUGCGCAGAAGAGGUCACCAAUGUGAUCAUCAGAGAAAUUGGUGAUAAGAAAUUCUCUGUGCUUAUCGACGAGUCAUGUGAUGUAUCUAUCAAAGAGCAAAUGGCGGUGAUGUUGAGGUAUGUCAAUGAUAAAGGGAAGGCCGUGGAACGAUUUCUCUCUCUAUACCAUGUCAGCGAGACUACAUCAGAGGCACUAAAGGUAGCUCUUUUUGACAUUCUUGAUCAUCAUAAGUUAUCCGUUCAUAGUCUACGAGGCCAAGGAUAUGAUGGAGCUUCAAAUAUGAGAGGUGAAUUUAAUGGUUUGCAAAAGAAAAUUCUUGACGAGAACACUUAUGCUUUUUAUGUGCAUUGCUUUGCACAUCGUUUACAAUUGGUGGUUGUCUCGGUUGCUAGUUGUUGCUCCUCUAUUCAUGAUUUGUUUGAGUAUGUCUCCUUAAUUGUGAGCACAACUACUGUAUCUUGCAAGAGAAGGGAUUCACUGCGGGAGGAACGUCAUCAAAAUAUCUUAGAUCAGAUUGAGAGCGGUGAGAUAUUUAGUGAAAGAGGUUUGAACCAAGAAACAAAUUUAGCAAGACCCGGGAAUACUAGAUGGGGUUCACACCAUACAACUUUGCUUCGUUUGAGUCAGAUGUGGAAGUCAGUCAUAUAUAUGCUUCGUGAGGUCAAUGAUGAAGGGCGCGAACCGUCUCAAGCGGCGGGUUUGAUAGAGAUAAUGGAGAGUUUCAAAUUUGCUUUCGUAUUGCAUCUUAUGAUAAAGUUGCUUGCUAUCACAAAUGAACUCUCACAAGUCUUACAGAGAAAAGAUAUAAACAUUGUUAAUGCCAUUGAACUAGUUGGUGAUGUCAAAGCUCGGUUGGCCUCUAUGAGAGAAAGUGGUUGGGAAAGCUUGUUCGAUGAAGUCCAACACUUUUGUGUCGCCAAAGGUAUUCCGGUGCCCGAUAUGAAUGAAAGAAUACUGGUCCGAGGUCGUUCAAGGCUUGAUGGUGUGAUUUACACCAAUCUUCAUUUCUAUCGAGUUGAGAUCUUCUAUGUCGCCAUUGACAAGAUAUGCACUGAGAUGAAUUAUCGCUUUAAUGAAGCAUCUUCAAAUAUAAUAGUGGCCUUCUCAUGCCUUCAUCCAAAAAAUUCCUUCUCCAAGUUUGAUGUUGACAAGCUUGCUAGCUUAACUGAAGUUUAUCAUGGAGAUUUCUCUAGUGGUGAUCGUGCAAUCCUAAGAGACGAACUUCAGACUUACAUUCUUCAUGUACGAAGGCAUGAGGCCUUUUCUUCUUAUAAAGAUAUUGAAAGUUUAGCUACAAGGAUGGUUGAAACUGAGAAACAUUUGGUUUUCCCACUGGUGUACAGAAUCAUAGAGUUGGCUUUGUUAUUGCCAGUCUCAACAGCAUCGGUCGAAAGAGCUUUCUCGGCAAUGAAGAUUAUCAAAUCUAAAUUGCGCAGCAAGAUGAAUGAUACAUGGUUUGACUUGAUGAUUUGCUACACCGAGCGGGAGAUUUUUAAAGGACUUGAUGAUGAUGCUAUUAUUAAACGGUUUCAAGCCAUGAAGUAUCGGAAAGGGCAAUUGCCCAGGUCCAAUUAG